UGCAGCGAUCACCCGCUGAGGACCGCUCUUCACCUGGAUCCGUGCUGAUCUACGGUACCCUUAGACGAUCUGGUUAGCAGCCAAAUCGUAAAAUUUUUUCUCAAAGAUUAAUGAAAUUAUCAUUAAUCUUGAGAUGUUUGUCGGGUAAUGAUAAGAUCAGCUAGUUCACAAUUAUAUAUAUACAUACAUAUAUGCAUAUAUAUGCUAUGCCACAAGCUCUUUAAUUAGUCGGGAGUCGGCUCCCUCUCUCUCGAUCUUUCUCUUUUCCGACCCAUGCGCCACUCGUUUCUUUAAUAUAUAUAUGUAUGCAACUUGAUAAUAUAUAUAUAUAUAUAUAUAUAUAUAAAAUAUUUACUUGUAGACACGCAUAUAUUUAUAUUGCGUGUGUAUAUAUAGGGUUUGUGACUUGCAGACUCAAAGCCCACAAAGAGCAUAUCAUUAUCAUCCAUUGGGGAGCUAGAUAGCUGGCUUUGGGAAAUUGCCAUGAAGGUGAUUUUGGUUCCAUACCCGGCGCAGGGUCACGUCACUCCAAUGCUGCAGCUUGCUGUGGCACUCCUCCCAAGUGGGUUCGAGCCGGUCCUGGUCACGCUAGAGCACAUCCAUCGCCGGAUCAAGCCAGAUAUUGAACAGAUGGGCCACGUUGCUAGCAUGGUCAAGUGCGUCGUACUGCAGGACGGGCUGGAGUCCGGUGGGGCACGGGACUUCUUCGCCAUAGAAGCCGCUAUGGAGGAUGGGUCCAUGGCGGUCCAGCUGGAGCGGCUGGUGAGCAAGCUGGAUGACUGCGAGAAUGGGGAAGGCGUGGUGCUAAUGGUGGUGGAUGUGCUGGCGUCGUGGGCGAUGGAGGUGGGCCACCGGUGUGGAGUCCCAACGGCGGGUUUUUGGGUCGCCAUGAUCGCCACGUACCAGGUUGUUGCCGCAAUCCCCGACCUGGUUCGACACGGGGUGAUCUCUUAUUCAGGAACACCACGGCACAAAGAAACCAAGCUGCCUUGCCUUGUCCCGAAUCAACCAACUCUUACAGCCGAAGACCUGCCAUGGCUGAUCGGAUCUACAUCCUGUAGGAAAGGACGGUUCAAGUUCUGGACCCGAACAAUGGACCGGUGUCGGUCCCUUAGGUGGCUCCUAGUGAACUCCUUCCCUGAGGAGCACUGCACAGCUUAUAACAAUAUUGAACUAAAUGAAUAUGUGGUGGAUAAUCGCCCGCAUGUUAAUACUAAGAAUAAUAAUGACAACGAAGACGACUACUAUCCCAUGGUUUUCCCAGUCGGGCCCCUGAGCAAGCUAGCAGUUGCACCGACUGCAAGGAACCCUAGCUUCUGGGAGGAAGAGCGGACCUGCCUGGACUGGCUCGACCAGCAAGACCCCGGGUCCGUGAUCUACGUCUCAUUCGGGAGCUGGGUGAGCCCGAUCGGGGAAGACAACAUGAGAAGCCUCGCGCUUUCACUGGAGGCCUCGGGCCGACCAUUCAUAUGGGCCUUGAGCCCGACCUGGCGUGACGGGUUACCCAAUGGGUACAUCGAAAGGGUGGCCAACCGGGGUAAGGUCGUCCCUUGGGCCCCACAGCUGGAGAUACUGCAGAACGAUGCAGUCGGGUGCUUCGUGACGCACUGCGGGUGGAACUCGACAAUGGAGGCCAUCCAGUGCAAGAAGAGACUGGUGUGCUACCCGGUGGCCGGAGACCAGUUCGUGAACUGCAAGUACAUUGUGGAGGUGUGGAAGAUUGGAGUGAGGAUCGACGGUUUCGAGGAGAAAGAGAUCGAAGAAUGCUUGAGGGAGGCCAUGGAGGACAAGGAGAUGGGAAGAAGAGUGAGGGAGCUCUGCGAGAGGACCAUGGGAGAGGAGGCUCGUCUAAGGCUUGUAAAGAGCCUCAGAGGUUUCACCGAUGACCUACAUAAAAUCAUCGCGGAAGAUUCUUAAUUAAGCAUAGCUAAUUAAGAUUAGUUUAUCGGUUUGAUUUGAUAUGAAAUUUGUGCAUCCAAUCAGAUAGUCUUCUAACGUAAUGAGGCUAAGCGGUUUGUUGUCCUAGACGCGAUGUCCAGUGAGAGCGGCGAAGCAAGGCUAACUUAUGGCACGUUAUUUACUUGAAAAAUGCAUGUCCAGAUGCAUCUUACCAUCCAUCAUAUUCUCCAUAUUCCCAAGUGCUGGAAAGGGUCUGGUUGAGGAAGCGAUCGAGGCUAGAACGUAGGACACUGUUACGCCAUGCUCUCCGCCUACACCGAGAGCUAGAAUGGCAGGAUUAGCGAUGCUAGAAUCUGUUCGAUAGAAACUGCAUGCCUCAGAGGAACUUGAUCGGUUAAUUUCUUCUGAUGUUAUGCUUUGUCCAUUACGAUACAAAAUUUGUUGAAACGUGCACGAGUACGUAAUUAGUUU